UGGAUCUCCGGGUACCGAUGGGUCCCACAAAACGUGGUCCCACAUCUGCACUUGAACCCUGUCAAUCCCACCUUCUUCCUGCAGGCCGAACAUCUGUUCGGCUGUGCAGAAAUCGGUUGGACCGCGACUGUUACAGCCGCGGUCACAACCUCAGGUUCUUCCUCCGCAGCUGUCGAUUCCUGCAGCACCAGUAUCGAUGAGGUUGAUGGAAUCGGCAGCUGCGAAGGAGGAAAAAGGGAAUCAAUAGGUUUUUGUUGUCCCCCUUUUAUGUAAACUUCAUUGUAACAUUUGGAGCAGAAAUUUUGCGUUGUUGGGCUACCAAAGAAACCACAGUUAUUAGCGCAUAAUAUAUGUCCUUCUGGUGCUUCAAAUCCAUGUUCUUCCGCCAUAAUUAUAUCGAUUUCUCUUCGAUAUCAAAAAGCACGAA
rnacentral:misc_RNA from 1 species